AAUAAUAUAUCCGAGCCAAUUUCACCAUAUUAUCUUGGGUACUCCCUUUCUCAUUAGUCCAAUUCCUCAACUCUCUAAUCCCCAAAACUACAACCCUAACUCUCUCACGCUGCCCCAUUCUCAUAUUCGAUUGCAUAAUCUCUUGAGAAUUUGGGAGGUUUUCAAAUGUGCUGAUUGUGGGGUGACAAGUUUUCAUGCUGAUGGCAGAAUGUGUGGUAUCACCACUAUGUAUGAAGCUGCAAAUGCAGAGGAGUUUCGCCGCAGGGAAGCCCCGGAGUUCACAUUCGAAGAUGGUGCAAAGGAAGCAUUCCUAUGGAAGUUGCAAAACUGUUCUGGUUCCAAUGUGGAAAAUGUGUGACUUCACUGCACCUGGCUUCUCAAAUUUGAAAGUUAAUCCUUUUCCCGGGGAGGUUGCUUUAAAAUGUGCUUGCUUGGGGACUUUGAUAGGCUCUGAUGGUGCAACGGCCUCUGAUUGGAUUCCUCUUGUUGAUCAACUACUCCUGACGGCCAGUGUGUUUCUCACAUAUAUGGCUGGAGUAAUUCCUGGUUACAACUCUAGUCCACCUUCUCAGAAUGACAACGCGGUUCCUAAGACCUCAAACGCUUCUGGUAGUGCUACAAAGAACAAUGAUCCAGAUUCAGGUUAUGCCGUGGAUGCAGUGAAAAAGAAACUUCUAGAUUCUCUUGAAGCUCUUGAACUAGGAGGCAAUCUGGGAAAUAGGGUCCUUGAACCUGAAGGGUAUUAUGCAAAGAGACCCUUAAGUUUGAAUGCUAUUGCUAAUGGUCCGCGACUACGAUUGCUAUGGGCAUCAUUGCAGCGAAUUGAGGAAGAGGUCAAAACUAUCUCCAAUUCUCAAACUUUUAACUCGGAUUAUUGCUUGAAGAAUUUUUCUGGUAUUAUACAAAAAUCCUGUCUCCCUGUAUGCACGAGCUGGCUAGAAACAGAACUUGGACUUUUAAACAGCAGACCUAACAAGGCACUUGUUUUGCUGAUGGAUGCAAAGUUAAAUGGAGACAACGCUAUUUUACAGAACAUCAGGAAUUCUGGCAAGGAAGAUCUUUAUGCAGAAUUGCUGUGCUUUCUUAGUUUUGGUUCUCUCAGGGAGGGUUGCUCUUAUGACAGUGGCCUGUUUAUGAUGCAUGCAGUUUCCAUACUGGAAGAUUUGGUGAUAACUUUGUCAGAUGGGAUAGUAAGCAUAUAUUUGGAGCUUAUUUCUGUUGACAGCAAUUUCUCAGAUGAAAUGGAUGGCUUGUCUUUGGCAUUGUGUACUUUGUCAACACGAGCACUACAAAGAUUACGUAAUGAGGUGGCUUUGUACCAAUGGUUGUAUCAAAAUUUGGAAGCAGUUGCAUCAAUGUAUGAGGAUCGAUUUGACUUAUGGACAUUUGAGAGUCAACUCAUAGAGAAAGUAGACAAUAGCUGGAAUCAAAACUACAGUUGGUGGAAGAGACUUAUCCAUAAAAAAUCUGACACUGCAUCAUCAACAUUAGACCAUGUUUUGAUAAGUAACUUUUCUAUGCCUGUAAAGCGAACGAAGGAAUUGAGAGCCCUUACAGGCUGGAGGUACUACUUCAGUCUAUUCCUCGAGUUAUCUGACAUUAGCAUGCCAUUGGUCAGAGCAGUCAUUGAUAAAGUCAGCAAGGCUAUGUCAUUUUUUCUAGUCUGCUUGAUUGGGAGGUCAUUAGGACUCAUUUAUACUGGAAUUAGGCAGUCUCUGCGGUGGAAGUGAUUGACUGAAAAUGGUGGGAAGAAGUCAAGAAGAACAUGAGAAAAUGACGGGCACAUAAGGAUUUUACUUUUCAGAAAAUCACAAAAGCAAAAGUUCCUUUCAGAAGAUAAUCUCUGUGCCCUACCAUCUUUACACCUAGCUGAUGUACAAAAUCCGGCAAUGGGUACCCAAGUCGACAAGGCAGGCAGAGAAGUUGAAGAAACAAGAGGAGGAAAGAGAGGCAUGAUUAAAGGGUUGAGGAAGCAUGACUAACCAAAACAGUAAGAGUUCCAAUCUAUUAUUUAUCUUGGAAUUUGAUAGGGCAAUACCUUUUAUUAGCUAUGAUUGGACAAUGAUAAAGGAAUUUGAUAUCAUUAUGUGUCUGGACCACACUGGCUUUUGCUUCUCUGCAACCUUUAAUGUGUGGUUGCCUGGUGAAAAGAACCUUACAUGAGACUCUAGUCAGGCAAAUGGAACUGGAAUGAUUUGAUGUAUAUUACGAAUCUUGAUAUGCAAGUGAUCUGAUUGAAA